CUAAGUUUGAUGGCGACCGGCGCACGGGUGAGUAACACGUAUCCAACCUGCCGAUGACUCGGGGAUAGCCUUUCGAAAGAAAGAUUAAUACCCGAUGGCAUAGUUCUUCCGCAUGGUGGAACUAUUAAAGAAUUUCGGUCAUCGAUGGGGAUGCGUUCCAUUAGGUUGUUGGCGGGGUAACGGCCCCACCAAGCCUUCGAUGGAUAGGGGUUCUGAGAGGAAGGUCCCCCCACAUUGGAACUGAGACACGGUCCAAACUCCUACGGGAGGCAGCAUG
rnacentral:rRNA from 1 species